AACGAACGCUGGCGGCAGGCCUAACACAUGCAAGUCGAACGCAUCGCAAGAUGAGUGGCAGACGGGUGAGUAACGCGUGGGAACCUUCCCAGUGGUGCGGAAUAGCUCAGGGAAACUUGAGGUAAUACCGCAUGAGCCCGCAAGGGGAAAGAUUUAUCGCCAUUGGAUGGGCCCGCGUCGGAUUAGCUAGUUGGUGAGGUAACGGCUCACCAAGGCGACGAUCCGUAGCUGGUUUGAGAGAAUGACCAGCCACACUGGGACUGAGACACGGCCCAGACUCCUACGGGAGGCAGCAGUGGGGAAUAUUGGACAAUGGGCGCAAGCCUGAUCCAGCCAUGCCGCGUGAGUGACGAAGGCCUUAGGGUUGUAAAGCUCUUUCGGCAGGAACGAAAAGGCUCUCUCUAACAUAGGGGGUCAAUGACGGUACCUGAAGAAGAAGCACCGGCUAACUACGUG
rnacentral:rRNA from 1 species